UACGUAGGCAGCGAGCGUUGUUCGGAGUUACUGGGCGUAAAGCGUGCGUAGGCGGUGGCCCAAGUCUGGUGUGAAAUCUCCCGGCUUAACCGGGAGGGUGCGCCGGAAACUGGGUUGCUUGAGUGCCGGAGAGGCAGGCGGAAUUCCUGGUGUAGCGGUGAAAUGCGUAGAUAUCCGGAGGAACACCGGUGGCGAAGGCGGCUUCCUGGACCGACACUGACGCUGAGGCGCGAAAGCUAGGGGAGCAAACGGG
rnacentral:rRNA from 1 species